UGUGUGGUUCAUAGUUGAGUGUAUUUAUGUGUGUGUUUCAUAGUCGAGUGUAUGUGUCUGUGUGGUUCAUAGUUGAGUGUGUUUGUCUGUGUGGUUUCUUUCUCUUAAUUCCAUUUGACAUGAGAUCUAUUUGCUCUUUGUACUAGGAACUAUACUCUUUGUUCUAGGUACUAUACUCUUUGUUCUAGGUACUAUACUCUUUGUUCUAGGUACUAUACUCUUUGUUCUAGGUUCUAUACCCUUUGCAUGCUGGUCUUGAGUGUACUCUCUGUGACCAAUAAACAAUUCAUAAAUUAAUACAAUUAAUACAACUAAAAUUAAGAAAAAAGACACCAGAAGCACAAUGUAAAUGGAAUGUGUGCAAUUAUAUUAAAAAACGUAAAGACAUGGAUCUUACAUAGGAACAUUUAGACUAACAAAGACAGGACACAAUUAUGUAUAAAACAAACAACAGAGAAACACAAAAAAGAAACUGUUUUUUUUUUUUUUUUGUAACGUACAUUAAUACCUGCCGUGUGAAUUAUCACACAGAGUUUUCCGUCUCCAACAAAUAAAAAUAGAUUAAAAUAAAAUAAAAUACAGUGCAUAGAGUUACAUUUCAGACGCUGCGAGAUGUCUCAUCUGAGUAAAGUUCAGCCGGAAAACGCCUUCAUCAGUUAAGACAUGAGAAU
ensembl:lncRNA